UGCGCGAAAGCCAGCUGUUCUUGUGUUUCUCAGUCUAUGUUUUAACAUACCCUGAAUGAAUGUAUUAGAAUGUAUUGCUGGGCCUUUGUGCCUUUAAAUCAAAUACAACUUUCAACAACGGAUCUCUUGGCUCUCGCAUCGAUGAAGAACGCAGCGAAAUGCGAUAAGUAAUGUGAAUUGCAGAAUUCAGUGAAUCAUCGAAUCUUUGAACGCACCUUGCGCUCCUUGGUAUUCCGAGGAGCAUGCCUGUUUGAGUGUCAUUAAAUUCUCAACCAUACAAGUUUUUAUUAACCUGUAUGGCUUGGAUCAUGGGAUUUGCGGGCUUCCUGAGUCGGCUAUCCUUAAAUGCAUUAGCAGAGCUUUUGCCGCUAAUCUCUGGUGUGAUAAUUAUCUACGCCAUUGAGAAGUGACAUGUCGAGGCUUCGCUUCUAAUCGUCUUCACAGACAAUAUUUGACAAUCUGACCUCAAAUCAGGUAGGACUACCCGCUGAACUUAAGCAUAUC
rnacentral:rRNA from 1 species